GCUGCAGCAUUGCUGGGCAUCCUCCAAGACAGCCCUACAACCUGCCUUCCUGCAUCCGUUACAGACAGGGAGACCCAGGCCGUGGGAGAGGAGAGCCAUGUGGGCCGCCAGGCGCCCCCUCAUGCACAAGGGGGCAACUGAUGUACUAUCUACCCUCCUUGGGUUAUCCUGGAGUCAAGCCUGGGACCUUAUCCAUGCUGGGAGAGUGCUCCACCACCGAGCUACAUCCCCAGGGCCCCAUUUUAUAGAAAAAAGAACACACAAAUUUACUACAUGCCUGAGGUAUACUAAAAGCCAAGCUCAAAAUCUUACCCACGUGACUGUCCAAUUGUGAGCUGAACAAGGAUGACGCCAAUGAACCAAAGUGGACAGGAAAAGCCCCGCGGCCUCACGCUUACACAGAGCUAUAGGCAACUGCGGAGAGCUGGAGUGAGGGGGGUGGCUUCCCCAGGAACAGCACAGCAGCUGCCUGUCUAGUGUCAAAAGGGGAGCCCUGAAAACAUGCAUACAAGUAACAAUAUGAAUGGGUUAUAUUUAGAAAUAUAUUUAUAUACACAAAUACAUUUAUGUAUGCAAUAGCAGCUAAAAAAGAAGCCAUGGAUUUGAAGGACAGUGAGGGUUUGGAGGGAGGAAAGGGAAGGGAGACAUGUUGUAAUUAAAUUAUAAUCUCAAAAAGAAAAAAA